rnacentral:rRNA from 1 species
GAUGAACGUUAGCGGCAGGCCUAACACAUGCAAGUCGAGGGGCAGCACGAUUGAGCUUGCUUAAUUGGUGGCGACCGGCGCACGGGUGCGUAACGCGUAUGCAACCUACCUUAUACUGGGGUAUAGCCCGAAGAAAUUCGGAUUAAUCCCCCAUAGCAUUAUCGAUUCGCAUGUUUUGAUAAUUAAAGGUUACGGUAUAA